UAGGAAGUUCCAAGUCUAAGAUCACUGGUUUGGACUUUGAUGAGGUCAGCAGAAGGCAACACCAGGGAUAAGUGCUGGAGCAAAUGGUCACGUCUUGAGCCAGGAGUGGAACUAAGGUUUAUAGCAACUCUUCUGGGGAAAUUACAUUGCCUUCAAUGAUAGUAUGACCUUCCAUUAGGCUCCUCACCUCCUAAGGAUUCUAACACCUCCCAGUGGAAUCACGUUAUGGAUUAAGCUUUGUAACUGGGGGACUAUCAACAUGCAAACCAUAGCAGUCUUCAUGGAGCAGGUUGGAUUCCCGACUGUGAAAGGGGGAGGGAAAAAUUUUUCUUCCAGGCAUCCAGUAAGUACAAGAAAUGACUUGAAACUGGGAAUAAGCACUGCAUGAGUAAUAAUCUAACUGGAGCAUGAACAGAAUGGCCAUGGAGGCUUAAAGAACGUGGAAGAAUCCCAACCUGAAGAACCACUUUGUGUUGUGAGGCUGCAGCAGGGGAGAUAUGCAUCUCCUGUCAUAUGGCCCUGAAUUUACUCAGUCCCAUAUUCCACGACUUCAUGCUCUCUGCUGUGGCCUGGGAAAGCAGUAGAAGAUGGUCCAAGUGCUUGGGCCCCUGAACCCGUGUGGGAGACCAGGAAGAAGCUCCUGGCUUCAGAUCAGCAUAGCUCCAGCUGUUGCAGCCAUUUGGGGAGUGAACCAAUGGGAAAAAAAAGACCUCUCUCUCUCUGUUUCUCCCUCUCACUGUCUGUAACUCUACCUGUCAAAUAAAUAAAUAAAAUCUUAAAAAGAACUGAGAUCCUGGAGCAAGUCAUUAGCACAGCAUGCUUGGUGUGUAGGGGCUGGAUCACCUGGGAAGCAUUGCUAAGGGCUUUGGUGUGGUAGAACCAUAUGGUCUGCUGGACCACUGCAAACUCC